GAAACCAACAUUUUAAGGGUGACCUCCAGUCACUUGCUAUGUAAUUAACAGGCUGAUGUACAGAUCACCACCACGAGUCAUCGGAGCUGGCAUUGGAGACAAAAGCUGUUGCUGGCCCUGUGCUGCCAGAUCUUUCCAGUCCAAAACCAAGUGUGCCUUUAUGUCUUCAUGCAUAAUAGAAAGAGACGGUUAAGGAAGGGAAGAGAGUGAAUUAACGGCCAAAACUGGAAUCUUGUCUCUGUCACUACUAAUGCCUGAUGAAAGUCAAGUUAACCUCAUUCCUAGUUACCUACACUAGCGUGCGGUACGUAUAAAUUAUUUAUUUCUGUCGGGGUAAGGGGGGUGUCU